UUUUGCAGUGAAAAUUAACUCUUAGAGCCAGAGAGAUUCUGUGUUAAUCCCAGAAGAGACAAUGGCCAAGUACCAAUGCAAGGUGAACAUGGCACGGUGAACAAGAGCACUUGGGCCAGAUGUUCCAUUUGUGUUCUCACUCUUUACCAUGGUGGUCUACCUCCAGUUACCCAGGCAGUCAGAUCCCGACAUCCAGUAAAAGAUCUGACAGGACUCAUCCAAACCCACAACCAUGUAGAGAAAAAGGCUUCCUUUUCCCUGGGGAAAUUUCAGGUCUGCCAGAGAAAUGGAAGAGCUGUAAAGAAUAAAACUGUAUUUGAUUUGA